UACAGAGGGGGCCAGCGUUAUUCGGAAUUAUUGGGCGUAAAGGGCGCGUAGGCGGCCAUGCGUGUCUUCCGUGAAAGCCCCCGGCUCAACUGGGGAGGGUCACGCGAUACUGAUCGACUCGAAGGCAGGAGAGGGUAGUGGAAUUCCCGGUGUAGUGGUGAAAUGCGUAGAUAUCGGGAGGAACACCAGUGGCGAAGGCGGGUCUCUGGGCCGAUACUGACGCUGAGGAGCGAAAGCGUGGGGAGCGAACAGG
rnacentral:rRNA from 1 species